GACAGAGGCCUCGAGCGUUAGGCGGAAUCACUGGGCUUAAAGCGUGUGUAGGCGGAUCGUUAAGUGCCUUGUGAAAUCCCAUGGCUUAACCAUGGAACUGCUUGGCAUACUGGCGGUCUUGAGCCACUUAGGGGCAACCGGAACAAAUGGUGGAGCGGUGAAAUGCGUAGAUAUCAUUUGGAACGCCAAUGGUGAAAACAGGUUGCUGGGAGUGUGCUGACGCUGAGACACGAAAGCCAGGGGAGCGAACGGG
rnacentral:rRNA from 1 species